UUGAAGGUUUAAAGCUUCACAAUAGCAGCAUCCAAGAAAUGCAACAGCUUUAAGAAAUACCAGAGUCUCCUCAGCUAAGACUGAAGUGUGCAAAGAAUGGCCAGAGGCAUUUGAGGGGCUGAAAGAAAGAUACCAGUUAGGAAGAAACAUUGGCGCUUCUCAGAGCCAGAGAUCCCAAAAAUCAGGGGUGAGGGAGGACAUUUGACAGGGGAUGGUAACAUGAGAAGAGAAGCUCAUACUGUCAUGAGCUUUGGCGAUACUCAAGAAAAGGGGACAAAGUAGAGCAGGUCAAUGUUGUUAGUGUGGCUUUUUGUUAAUUAAACCCUAUCCCAAGGCUGUUAGAAUGGAUAACCUUCUGAUGUAAAACGUAUUUUCCUAAGAAUUUACCAGGGCACAAAGCCUAUGAUACUCAUCACAGAAAGUAACUCAGAAUCUUUACACUUAAGUUCUUUCCAAUCCCAGUUUCAGAGUUUUGGUCACCCACUGUACUAGUUUCCUGCGGAUGCUAUAAAAUAAUUUCCAAAAUUUUGUUGGCUUAAAAAUACAAUAUUUUUCUCUUAUAGUUGGAGUUCCCAUCGUGGCACAGUGGUUAACGAAUCUGACUAGGAACCAUGAGCUAUCUGUAGUGAUUCCUGCUGUUGCUAUAUUAUGUGAAGUAGCUAAAAUAGGCAUCUCUGAGCCACAGCUAAAUAGAGGAGGAAAUCCUUUGGUCAGGAAGGGCCUGGAGCAACCAAAAAUCAUACCACAGAGGCCACUUCCUUUUCUGUACACAUGUAGAAUAUCAUAACUGCUAGACUCACACUCAGCAAACACUCUAAACUCAAGCAAUUCUUAGAAACAGAGUAUUUCCAACCAAGCACCAAGACUCAGAAGCCACAAAUAAAAUUUUGAUUUAUCAAAGGAUGCAGGAGCUAUAAUCAAGUCUCAAGUUGUUUCAGUUUCAGGAAUAUCUGCAGGAAAUCAAGUUAUUUUGGAUUAACUUAGGACCAAAUUGAGUUCAACUAAUGGUCUUGAAUUUCUCCAUUACAUUCUUUCAGAAAAACCCAUGACACCCACAAAAAAAAAAAAAAAGAGUAAUUCUAGAGCAGGCAAAACUCAGGUUGCUUACAAACUGAAAUACCAUAAAUUCUUUGACACAUCAAAUGGUAAUAUUUUAAGAUUCAAGUAUGGUACAUGAUAAAAAUCAGUCAUUAUCAAUUUCUUUACAUUUUCAAACUCAGAGUAAAAUGGAGAGAGAAAAACUCAAAAUCCUAGACAGGGCUGAAACACUGACAAGACAUGAAAAAUUUUGAAUUGUUUCCAGCAACUAUGAAAACAAGAAAUUAAGUGGAAAACCUACAAGUGUAGUAUACCUAGUACAGUUGAAUAGCAUUUUUAGAGAUCACUUUAAUGUCUGUCUGAGCAAGAGGACAAUCAAGAAAUUCCUUACCCACCAGAAACACAAAAAACUGCAAAUCUAAAAGGAGAAGUAAAGCCCAGAGUAGAAGUUUACCCAGGACUAUCUGCCAACCCCUGACAAAUUAACAAUGAAGAUUUAAAAGGCUUGCAGCUGGAACAAGAGAGACAAAGUUCUGGGACCUAAAUCAAAGAAAAUCCACCAAAGUCAAAACCCCCAAAGAAAGGACACUAUGGUCAGUGCCUGAAAGAAACUACACUGCUUAGAGAGCCUGUGAAGGCACUUGCAUGUGGCAGCUUUCCCUCCGAGUGGAGAGUAGAGAGAGGUCAGAGAAAUUUAACGGCCUUCUCUUCCUAACCACAAGCCUCAGUCUCAGGUCUCUAAAACAAGAAUUUAGGCUAUCUCUAUGGUUCAAAAUACCCAUGUCUGGAAAUGUCAAUUAAAGUGAUCCAGGGUUGAUAAUAAACACAGGUUCCUGAAAGAGUAAAGCCAAGCCUUAUAUAGACAUCUCACUUUAACACAUUUCAAAAAAUCUCACUCUUCAAGAUUGGCUGACAGUGGAAAGUCACCAAACACUAAAGGAUCAUACAACUAUAAAUGAGAGUCAAGGUAUAAAUCAAGAAACUGCCAAGUAAAACUCUCAAAGAUGGUUGACCUUAUAAUAAUCAGGAGAAGCCUACAAAAUGAAUUUACCUGCUAUUGUUAAAUAAAUGAAAGACUAUUAUCAAGUAAAAUGAAGGAAGAAGAGAUUACAGCAACUGACUGGAGAGAUUCAAAGAAAGAAUAAAAUAGAAUUAUUGGAAAGGAAGAAGAGUAACAGCUAGAAUUAGGAAUUGAAAGUUUGAAUUAGAUAAACAAGUUAGACAAAGUGAACAAAAAAUAUUGUGAAUUCUGAGGCAUAUAUGGAUAAAUUAUUCAGAAUGGAGCACAGAACGUCAAAAGAAUGGAAAGUAUGAAAGUUAAGAGACAUGAAAAUAGAAAGAUUUCAGUAUGUCUGCUAAUCAGAGUUCCAGAGAUGAAUGAGAGAAAAGAUGUAUAAGAAAUAUUUGAAACAAUAAUGGCUGAGAUCUUUCCUGAUGAUGACGAAAUCCAAUAAGUCCCAACCAUAAUGAAUGAAAAGACAUCCAUACCUAAACAUACCAUAAUGAAACUGUAGGACAUCAAAGACAAAAAGAAGUUUUCAAAAUGUGGGGUUGGGGUGGGGUUCGGGUGGGGGUGGGGGUGGAGGUUGGGGAGACGGGGUGGAUAGCUUAUCUAAAAUAAAAGGAGUAACAAUUUGUCUGAUGGCUGAUUUAUUAAUGACAAUAAUGGGAGACAAAAGGUUGGAAAAUGAUAUCUUAAAAGAGCUAAGAAAAAUAGCUAUCAACCUAGAGUCAUAUACCCCAUGAAAUUAUCUCCUGUUCAAUCAUUCAUUCCAUUAAAAAAUUCACUGUGCAUUUACUAUGUGUUAGACAGUGAUUGGUAUCAUUCAGUGAGUAAAAUGAACCAAAAAAAAAAAUGCUCUCUUGGAAUUUAUACUCCAAUGGAGAGAGUCAAUAAAUAAUAACAGUAACUAAGCAAAAUAUACUGUGAAAAUAAUGGACCAGGGUAAAGGGAUUGGAAUUGAGAAGGCAGAGGUCUACAAGUCUAAGUGGGAUUGUCAGAAUGGAAUUCAAUAAGAAGGUGAGAUUUAAGCAAAGAUUUGAAUGAGAUGAAGGUUCCCUGACAAAGCAGAGUGCUCAAGACAAGGGCAAAUCAGACCAGGGUGUGAACAGCAGAGUAGUAAGUAUUCUGGAUGUUUUUUAAAACAUCGAAUUAAUAGAAUUUCCUGAUAGACUGGGCAAAAGAGGAAUCAGGAUCCUUGAAGUAUUUUAGAUAAGCUACUAGAUAGAAAAAAGAAGGGAACAUUAAUCUCCAUUGUGGCUAUAGGUGAGGUAGCUUUGAUAGUAAGAAAGAGGACAUCAGAAAUUUGAAUAUGUUGAGUUUGAAGCAUCUAUUGGAUUCGAAUGCAGAGCUGUCAAAAAGAUAAGGGGAAAAAUUAGUAAAGAGUUCAGGUUUUCACUAGAGAUGUGAAUUUGGGGUCUUCAGCAUAUUGAUGGUAAUUAAUGGCAAACACUGUAUACAAUCACCAAGAGAAGGAGUGUGAAAGGAAAAAAAAAAAAAAAAAAAAA
rnacentral:lncRNA from 9 species